rnacentral:rRNA from 1 species
UACGUAGGUCACAAGCGUUGUCCGGAUUUAUUGGGCGUAAAGGGAGCGCAGGCGGCCAGUUAAGUCUGAUGUGAAAGCCCACGGCUCAACCGUGGAGGUGCAUUGGAAACUGAUUGGCUUGAGUGUGCGAUAGGAAAGCGGAAUUCCAGGUGUAGCGGUGAAAUGCGUAGAUAUCUGGAGGAACACCGGUGGCGAAAGCGGCUUUCUGGCGCAUAACUGACGCUGAGGCUCGAAAGCGUGGGGAGCGAACGGGAUUAGAUACCCCCGUA